GAUGAACGCUGGCGGCGUGCCUAAUACAUGCAAGUCGAGCGAAUGGAUUAAGAGCUUGCUCUUAUGAAGUUAGCGGCGGACGGGUGAGUAACGCGUGGGUAACCUGCCCAUAAGACUGGGAUAACUCCGGGAAACCGGGGCUAAUACCGGAUAACAUUUUGAACCGCAUGGUUCGAAAUUGAAAGGCGGCUUCGGCUGUCACUUAUGGAUGGACCCGCGUCGCAUUAGCUAGUUGGUGAGGUAACGGCUCACCAAGGCAACGAUGCGUAGCCGACCUGAGAGGGUGAUCGGCCACACUGGGACUGAGACACGGCCCAGACUCCUACGGGAGGCAGCAGUAGGGAAUCUUCCGCAAUGGACGAAAGUCUGACGGAGCAACGCCGCGUGAGUGAUGAAAGCUUUCGGGUCGUAAAACUCUGUUGUUAGGGAAGAACAAGUGCUAGUUGAAUAAGCUGACACCUUGACGGUACCUAACCAGAAAGCCACGGCUAACUACGUGCCAGCCGCCGCAGUAA
rnacentral:rRNA from 1 species